UACAGAGGGUGCAAGCGUUGUUCGGAAUUAUUGGGCGUAAAGCGCGUGUAGGCGGCUUUGCAAGUCGGGUGUGAAAGCCCUCAGCUUAACUGAGGAAGUGCGCCCGAAACUGCAGAGCUUGAAUACCGGAGAGGGUGGCGGAAUUCCCCAAGUAGAGGUGAAAUUCGUAGAUAUGGGGAGGAACACCGGUGGCGAAGGCGGCCACCUGGACGGAUACUGACGCUGAGACGCGAAAGCGUGGGGAGCAAACAGG
rnacentral:rRNA from 1 species